CAAAUUUCUGCCUAUCAACUUUCGAUUGUAGGAUAGUGGCCUACAAUGGUGUCAACGGGUGACGGGGAAUUAGGGUUCGAUACCGGAGAGGGAGCCUGAGAAACGGCUACCACAUCCAAGGAAGGCAGCAGGCGCGCAAAUUACCCAAUCCCGAUUCGGGGAGGUAGUGACAAUAAAUACUGAUGCAAGGGCUCUUUUGGGUCUUGCAAUUGGCAUGAGUACAAUUUAAAUCCCUUAACGAGGAACAAUUGGAGGGCAAGUCUGGUGCCAGCAGCCGAGGUAAUUCCAGCUCCAAUAGCGUAUAUUACCAGUUGUUGCAGUUAAAACAGCUCGUAGUUGAACCUUUGGGCCUGGCUGGCCGGUCCGGCUCACCGGUGGCACUUGGUCCGGCCGGGUACUUUCCCUUCUAGGGGGAUCACGAUUGGCCCUUUCACUGGGGUAGUAGUCAGGGGGAAACCAGGGACUUUUUU
rnacentral:rRNA from 1 species